UACGAACCGUGCGAACGUUGUUCGGAUUCACUGGGCUUAAAGGGCGCGUAGGCGGGCAAGCAAGUCCGGGGUGAAAUCUUUCGGCUCAACCGGAAAAGUGCCUUGGAUACUGCUUGUCUUGAGGGAGGUAGGGGUCAUGGGAACUUCCGGUGGAGCGGUGAAAUGCGUUGAUAUCGGAAGGAACGCCGGUGGCGAAAGCGCAUGACUGGAUCUCUUCUGACGCUGAGGCGCGAAAGCUAGGGGAGCAAACGGG
rnacentral:rRNA from 1 species